UACGGAGGGGGCUAGCGUUGUUCGGAAUUACUGGGCGUAAAGCGCACGUAGGCGGACUGUUAAGUCGGGGGUGAAAUCCUGGGGCUCAACCUCAGAAUUGCCUCCGAUACUGGCAGUCUCGAGUGCGGGAGAGGUGAGUGGAAUUCCCAGUGUAGAGGUGAAAUUCGUAGAUAUUGGGAAGAACACCAGUGGCGAAGGCGGCUCACUGGCCCGUAACUGACGCUGAGGUGCGAAAGCGUGGGGAGCAAACCGG
rnacentral:rRNA from 1 species